GAUGAACGCUAGCGGCAGGCCUAACACAUGCAAGUCGAGGGAGAAGCCCUUUCGGGGGCAGAAACCGGCGCACGGGUGCGUAACGCGUAUGCAACCUACCUUUCACAGGGGGAUAGCCCGAAGAAAUUUGGAUUAAUACCCCAUAAUAUUAUUGGAUGGCAUCAUUUGAUAAUUAAAACUGCGGUGGUGAAAGAUGGGCAUGCGUCCUAUUAGCUAGUUGGAGUGGUAACGGCACCCCAAGGCUACGAUAGGUAGGGGUCCUGAGAGGGAGAUCCCCCACACUGGUACUGAGACAGGGACCAGACUCCUACGGGAGGCAGCAGUGAGGAAUAUUGGUCAAUGGUCGGGAGGCUGAACCAGCCAUGCCGCGUGCAGGAAGAAUGCCUUAUGGGUUGUAAACUGCUUUUAUAUGGGAAGAAUAAGGCGUACGUGUACGUUGAUGACGGUACCAUAUGAAUAAGCAUCGGCUAACUCCGUG
rnacentral:rRNA from 1 species